rnacentral:rRNA from 1 species
UACGGAGGGUGCUAGCGUUGUUCGGAAUUACUGGGCGUAAAGGGCGCGUAGGCGGCCGUUUGCGUCGGAUGUGAAAGCCCGGGGCUCAACCUCGGAACGGCAUUCGAUACGGGACGGCUGGAGACCGGGAGAGGAGAGUGGAAUAGCCAGUGUAGAGGUGAAAUUCGUAGAUAUUGGCUGGAACACCGGUGGCGAAGGCGGCCCCCUGGACCGGUACUGACGCUGAGGCGCGAAAGCGUGGGUAGCAAACGGG